GAACGUACGCUGGCGGCACGCCUAACACAUGCAAGUCGAACGAAGUAGCAAUACUUAGUGGCAGACGGGUGAGUAACAUGUAGGUAUCUGCCCUUUGGCCUGGAAUAACACGAGGAAACUUGUGCUAAUACCGGAUAAGUCUUUACGGAGAAAGCUUUAUGCACCAUUGGAUGAGCCUGCACUUGAUUAGUUUGUUGGUGGGGUAAUGGCCUACCAAGACUGUGAUCAAUAGCUGAUUUGAGAGGAUGAUCAGCCACAUUGGGACUGGGACACGGCCCAAACUCCUACGGGAGGCAGCAGUGGGGAAUCUUGCACAAUGGAGGAAACUCUGAUGCAGCGAUGCCGCGUGAGUGAAGAAGGCCUUUGGGUUGUAAAGCUCUUUCGUCGGGGAAGAAAAUGACUGUACCCGAAUAAGAAGGUCCGGCUAACUUCGUGCCAGCAGCCGCGGUAAUACGAAGGGACCUAGCGUAGUUCGGAAUUACUGGGCUUAAAGAGUUCGUAGGUGGUUGAAAAAGUUGGUGGUGAAAUCCCAGAGCUUAACUCUGGAACUGCCAUCAAAACUUUUCAGCUAGAGUAUGAUAGAGGAAAGCAGAAUUUCUAGUGUAGAGGUGAAAUUCGUAGAUAUUAGAAAGAAUACCAAUUGCGAAGGCAGCUUUCUGGAUCAUUACUGACACUGAGGAACGAAAGCAUGGGUAGCGAAGAGGAUUAGAUACCCUCGUAGUCCAUGCCGUAAACGAUGUGUGUUAGACGUUGGAAAUUUAUUUUCAGUGUCGCAGCGAAAGCGAUAAACACACCGCCUGGGGAGUACGACCGCAAGGUUAAAACUCAAAUGAAUUGACGGGGACCCGCACAAGUAGUGGAGCAUGUGGUUUAAUUCGAAGAUACGCGCAGAACCUUACCAACACUUGACAUGUUCGUCGCGACUCUAAGAGAUUAGAGUUUUCGGUUCGGCCGGACGAAACACAGGUGCUGCAUGGCUGUCGUCAGCUCGUGUCGUGAGAUGUUGGGUUAAGUCCCGCAACGAGCGCAACCCUCACUUUUAGUUGCCAUCAUUAAGUUGGGCACUCUGAAAGAACUGCCAGUGAUAAGCUGGAGGAAGGUGGGGAUGACGUCAAGUCCUCAUGGCCCUUACGUGUUGGGCUACACACGUGCUACAAUGGUAUCUACAACAGGAAGCAAGACUGCGAAGUUAAGCAAAUCCCUAAAAGAUACCUCAGUUCGGAUUGCACUCUGCAACUCGAGUGCAUGAAGCUGGAAUUACUAGUAAUCGUGGAUCAGCGUGCCACGGUGAAUGCGUCCCCGGGUCUUGUACACACCGC
rnacentral:rRNA from 1 species